rnacentral:lncRNA from 1 species
UGGUUAUACCAAUACAAAAUCCAUGGUUAGGAAAAAAAGUGACUUGUAGUGAAAUAAUUGAUGCUUUUUCAUUUGAAAUCUCCAAACUUGGGAUUAAGUGUUGUUUUUUUUCAACUUCACAAAAAUUUGAACAUAAAAGGUUGAAAUUUUCAUUUGAUUCAGCUACAAUCAAUGGAAUGGAAUCACUAGGGACAUAGUUGAUGAUGGGAUGUGAUGAAUCUUGUGGCCAUGUGAUGUUACCAACAAGAAGGAAGAGAGUGUUUGAGAUUUGGAAGAAUGGAAUCAAAAAAAGAAGUGGUUGAUAAAUUUGGGUGUUCAUAAAAGAAGAGACGUUCAACUGGUGGGAGUCUUAGCCAUAGUGAGUCAAAGAAAGUGAAGGGAAAAGUAGUUGGGGAGGUUUCAUUUUGAGGUGCUAUUGAAAAAUUUUUAUGAACUUUGAGAGAUAUUGCCAUGAGAAAUUGAUGAGGAAAUGAGGCUUGGCAAUUUGUAGACUUAAUAAGCAUUUUAUGAUGAUGAUGAUGAUGAUACAUAGGCUAUGAAUAUGCUUUCAAUAUAUGACAAGGACAUAUCUAGGAAUCACACGUCACAUGGUUCGAAUUGGUGAGGAUUUGAAGUAUUUAUCUAAGGGGAACUUCUACGGUACACUGUAAAUUAAGGUGUACUGGUAUUUUUAUUUCAUAAAUUUAUAAAUUAAUGAUCAAUUUUAUGAAAUAAAUAGUUAUUUAUCGGUAUUUAUAUUUUAGAAAAUACUAUUUCAUAUGUCAUUCAUUGUUUAUAAGAAUCAUAGUAUUUUUUUUAGAUAUUAUCGUAUAAAAUAAUCAAAGUUCUCUAUUAUAAGCGAUAAAAAUUCAAAAAAAUCAAUUUUAUUUCGUUUACGCUUGUGAUGAAUAAGAUUUAAUCAUUAUAAUUAUAAAUAAAAAAUAAUAAUAUUUUUCUUCAUAAAAUAACUCAUUUACCAAUAAAAUUAAAGGUUUGGUGUACCGAUACACUCAAAUAUGUUGGGUGUACCGUAGAAUUUGUCUAUGUAAGCUCCUUUUCACCUUAUUGUUUUGUUUUUUACUUUAGGAAAUUUUUGAUGUAGGAUGUCGGCAAAGAUGUUGAACAUAUUGGUUUCAAGUCAUACGUGUCGAAAAGGCAAGUUUGCAAAUAAAGGGUGACCAUUCUUUGGAUGAUCUCCGUGCUUUUUUUUUUUAUUUGUGUUUGAACUUCGAAACUUGCAUAUAUAAUGCAUUGUCUAUACCAACUAAAUUAAAUUCACGAACACCUCUUUGUGUUUAACGUUGAUAUAUAAAAUACUAACGAGUUUUUAAAAUUUUACCAUAUCAACUUUCUUAUAUUGUAUUUAAAAAUUUACUUAUGUAAUUUUAAAUUUUUAAAAUCUACAACAAGCGUGGGCCAAAUAUUUAACGUGUUUUGUAUAUAAAAUAAAAAAUAUUUAAUAAAAAAAUACAUUAAUGUCGAUAUUUUGAAAAUAGUCACGAGUUUUCAAAAUAUUAUCAUAUCGACUUUCUCGUAUAGUACAUAAAAGUUUACUUCUAUACAUUUGUCAAUUUUUUUUACUUCUAUAUCUAUAAGUAAAUAAAAUCUGCAACGGAAGCGAUGCAAAUAUUUAACAGAUUUUUGCAUACUAAAAAAAAAUAUUUAAUUAAUAAACCUCUUAAAACAUAUUUAACAUAAACAUUACAUUAAUGCCGAUAAUUUUCAUCUAAUACAUUUAUACAUUUUACAAUAUUUACAAUGUAAUUAUUUUUUAUAUAAUUACCACAAUAUUACGCGAUCUAUCUGAAUACACAUAUUUUUACUAAUGAUGCUUAAAGAGCCACCAUCGAUCUAAAAUGGUACACAAAAAUGAAUAUGAAUAUGUACCUUGACUGACCUCGACAUAAAUGUUACAAUAAUGACGUGGCUAUGCAUUGUUGCAUCUAGAAGUAAAACACCAGUACACCACCUUAAUUUGGUGAAAUUAUUCUACCGACACAAUCAUAAAUAAUAAAUAUUUACAUUCACAUCAAAUACAAAAAUUAAUAAAAAAUAAAACUAAAUAACAUUGAUUGAUGUGGUUUAUUUAUUUUUAUUUUAAUUUUUUCUAUUUGAUGUAAAUGUGUUCAAAUAUUUAUCAUUUUUGAUUGUGUUUACAUAAGAGUUUCUUAAUCAAUCCUAAACAAAAAUAUUCAUAGAAAAGAAUACGUGGACUGCAUAAUGCAUUAUUUCAAUUACUUGCUUAUCACAUCACAAUCACAUACUAUAUUAUUCCUUAAAAAAAUCACAUACUAUAUUACUGGCAUCUUGACAUUAUGCUAAGAAAAUAUAUAAGACGACAAAAAAACUAUGACUACAACAUGUUUGAAAGUUUACACUGUGGAGAGAUUCAAGGAGACAAACAUUGAAGGCGCCUUGAGUUUGAGAUAAAACAAGUAUAUGAAGCUAAAACAUCCAGAUUUGAGGAGGCAAAGCUUACCAUUCAUUAAUUCAUUUCAAUCUAACAAAUAUCCUUAAAAAAAAAUUGUGAAUAUUUUUCUUUUUUCUCUUUUACAAUUUGUUUUUUCUCCAGAUUUAUUUAAUAACUGAUGUAUUUAGUUUAUAUUGUAAACCAAAAACAUUAAUUAUAUAAUAAAUCUUUAAACAAAUUGUUUAUGUCUGAGACCAAAUUCAUAAUAAAAUACUCUCUCCGUUUCAAAUUGUAUAACGUUUUGGACAUUUCACACAUAUUAAGAAAUGUAAUUAAUAUUGUGUGAGAAAGAGAUAUUAUGAGUUGUUUUACAAAAUUGUCCUUAAUAAAUUAUAUGAGAAAGAUAAAUGAAUGAAUUGAAAGAAAAGAGAGUAAUAAAUAGUUAAAGACAUAAUAGAAAAAGUAACAUUAAUAUUUUAUUAGUAUUGUAAAGCGACAUAUAAUUUGCGACAAUUUUUUUUCUUUCUAAAAUGACUUACAAUUUGGGACGGAGGGAGUACAUAUUAACAUAAGUAUUUUAAUUUGACAAAAAAAAAAUGUAUUUUAAGAAUUUAUCUUGUCCUACUUGGGGUGAUGAGCUAGAAGACAUUGAGCGAGUUUAAAGCAAAAGGUCCUCAACAAUUUCAAUUUCCAAACUUAUAAAAACAAUUCAAAAUAUAAAUCCAAGAUGUGAAUCGUCUGAUCUAAAUCGAGAGAUUAAAAUCUACAACAGUACGAUUGUGUUUUUUUAAAAGGCAAAGUAAUAUAUGAUAGACAAUCCAUUUUCUUGAUACAAUUACAAUGAUUCAAGUCCUUGAACAAAAAGUUGAGCAAAAACCUCCAUUUGUUGUUUGUUCAAAGCCAAACCAAUCUCAAUUCCACCAUCAUUAUUCCUAUUCUCCGAAAGAGAAAAAGCUCCUGUUUUAUCAAUAGAAGUAACAUCAACUUUCUUAGGUUUACCCCAUCCAAAAUCAAAACUAUAAACAUCAAACCUAGGUGACCCGGCAAUAGAAAACAUCCUAUCUGUCUCACUCAUUGUAGAUUGCAUUAUUGACAUCCAAUUCUCCAAACCCUUCAACACACCAUUUUCCAAACCCUUCAACACAUCACUUAUCCCUUCAAGAGCACUAAUAAAUCCAUCAUCUUUUAAAAAUUCCUCGGUUUCACCCAAAACUAAUUUUGACACAACACAAUUUCCAAAAUAAUUUGCAUUAAUUGGUGGAUCCAAACGUGGCCUACAAUCCACACUAAAAAUAAAAGGUACCUUGUUGGAUUUUGGUUGGUCAACUUUUAUCGUACAUGCCAACAAAUAAGCACAAGUAACUGAAAAAGUUGAAAGCUUAAUAACCUUGUUAUUUUUUUCAAUCUUGGAUUGUGCAUGUUUCUUAAGCUUUUGAAUAUCCAAAGGUGACAAUUGAAAAAUACCUUUGGUUGCUUCACCCUUUAUUGUAUUAAUUGUUUCCCAAACCUUCAAGCUUCGAUUAUUUGUUUCUCCACCAAAAUUCAACCACCCUUUUGAAUAAAUCUCAUUUAUCCCUAUAGGGUCUCUUAUAAUGGACCUAUCAAAAAAAGGUGUUAGAUAUUGAGGUAAUGACAAAGAGGGUGUGUUUUUUUCAAGGUUGGAACAAAAAUAAGACCAAGCUUUCAUAAACAAAGUUGAAGAUUUUCCAUCAACAGCUGCAUGGUGUGUGGUUAUACCAAUACAAAAUCCAUGGUUAGGAAAAAAAGUGACUUGUAGUGAAAUAAUUGAUGCUUUUUCAUGUGAAAUUUCCAAACUUGGGAUCAAGUGUUGUUUUUUUUCAACUUCACAAAGAUUUGAACAUAAAAGGUUGAAAUUUUCAUUUGAUUCAGCUACAAUCAAUAGAAUGGAAUCACUAGGGACAUAGUUGAUGAUAGGGUGUGGUGAAUCUUGUGGCCAUGUGAUGUUACCAACAAGAAGGAGGAAGUGGUUGAGUGUGAGCUCAAGGGAAUGUUUGAGAUUUGGAAGAAUGGAAUCAAAGAAAAAAUUGGUAGAUAAAUUGGUGUGUUC